rnacentral:rRNA from 1 species
CUACGGGUGGCACCAGUGAGGAAUUUUGCGCAAUGGGGGAAACCCUGACGCAGCAACGCCGCGUGAGUGAUGAAGGCCUUCGGGUCGUAAAACUCUGUCAAGUGGGAAGAACCUAUGUAAGGUUAAUACCCUUAUGUACUGACGGUACCACUGAAGGAAGCACCGGCUAACUCCGUGCCAGCAGCCGCGGUAAUACGGAGGGUGCAAGCGUUAUUCGGGAUUAUUGGGCGUAAAGGGCGCGCAGGCGGUUUUGUAAGUCAGAUGUGAAAGCCCGGGGCUUAACCUCGGAAGUGCAUUUGAUACUGCAAGACUUGAGUAUGGGAGGGGGAAGUGGAAUUCCUGGUGUAGAGGUGAGAUUCGUAGAUAUCAGGAGGAACACCAGUGGCGAAGGCGACUUCCUGGACCAAUACUGACGCUGAGGCGCGAAGGCGUGGGGAGCAAACAGGAUUAGAUACCCCGGUAGUC